rnacentral:rRNA from 1 species
AUUGAACGCUGGCGGCAGGCCUAACACAUGCAAGUCGAGCGGAUGAAGGGAGCUUGCUCCUGGAUUCAGCGGCGGACGGGUGAGUAAUGCCUAGGAAUCUGCCUGGUAGUGGGGGAUAACGUCCGGAAACGGGCGCUAAUACCGCAUACGUCCUGAGGGAGAAAGUGGGGGAUCUUCGGACCUCACGCUAUCAGAUGAGCCUAGGUCGGAUUAGCUAGUUGGUGGGGUAAAGGCCUACUAAGGCGACGAUCCGUAACUGGUCUGAGAGGAUGAUCAGUCACACGGGAAGUGAAACACGGUCCAGGCCCCUACGGGGGGCAGCGGUGGGGAAUUUUGGAAAGGGGGGGAAAGCCUGACCAAGCCAGGCCGGGGGUGGGAAGAAGGUCUUCGGAUUGUAAAGCACUUUAAGUGGGGAGAAAGGGAAGAAAGUUAAUACCUUGCUGUUUUGACGUUACAAACAAAAAAAGCACCGGCUAACUUCGU